rnacentral:rRNA from 1 species
AUUGAACGCUGGCGGCAGGCCUAACACAUGCAAGUCGAUCGAGCGGCGGACGGGUGAGUAAUGUCUGGGAAACUGCCUGAUGGAUGGGGAUAACUACUGGAAACGGUAGCUAAUACCGCAUACCAUCAGAUGUGCCCAGAUGGGAUUAGCUAGUAGGUGGGGUAACGGCUCACCUAGGCGACGAUCCCUAGCUGGUCUGAGAGGAUGACCAGCCACACUGGAACUGAGACACGGUCCAGACUCCUACGGGAGGCAGCAGUGGGGAAUAUUGCACAAUGGGCGAAAGCCUGAUGAAGCCAUGCCGCGUGUAUGAAGAAGGCCUUCGGGUUGUAAAGUACUUUAAGCGGGGAGGCGUUACCCGCAGAAGAAGCACCGGCUAACUCCGUGCCAGCCGCCGCGGUAAUAC